rnacentral:rRNA from 1 species
GGUCAAGUUAUUAAGGGUGCAGGGCGGAUGCCUUGGCACUAGGAGCCGAUGAAGGACGUGAUAAGCUGCGAUAAGCUUCGGGGAGUUGCACGUAAACUUUGAUCCGAAGAUUUCCGAAUGAGGAAACUCACUUAGAGUAAUGUCUAAGUAUCAUUAAGUGAAUACAUAGCUUAAUGAGGGGAACUCAGGGAACUGAAACAUCUAAGUACCUGAAGGAAGAGAAAGAAAUUCGAUUCCGUAAGUAGCGGCGAGCGAACGCGGAUUAGCCCAAACCAAUAAAGUUUUCUUUAUUGGGGUUGCGGACAUAUCAUAACGAAGAGGUAUCGUAAUUGAAGAGGUUUGGAAAGACCCACCACAGAAGGUAAUAGUCCUGUAUGUUAAACGAGAAGACUUCAGAUAUGAUCCAGAGUACCACGGGACACGUGAAACCCUGUGGGAAGCAGGAGGGACCACCCUCCAAGGCUAAAUACUACCUAGUGACCGAUAGCGUAUAGUACCGUGAGGGAAAGGUGAAAAGAACCCCGGGAGGGGAGUGAAAUAGAACCUGAAACCCUGCACUUACAAGCUGUGGAAGCACAUUUCUUGUGUGACCGCGUACUUUUUGUAGAACGGGCCAACGAGUUACGUUAAGUAGCAAGGUUAAGCACUUAAGGUGCGGAGCCGUAGCGAAAGCGAGUUUUAACUGAGCGUUCAGUUACUUGACGUAGACCCGAAACCGGGCGACCUACCCAUGAGCAGGAUGAAGCGAAAGUAAAAUUUCGUGGAGGUCCGAACCCACGAGCGUUGAAAAGCUCGGGGAUGACUUGUGGAUAGCGGUGAAAUUCCAAUCGAGCCCGGAGAUAGCUGGUUCUCCCCGAAAUAGCUUUAGGGCUAGCCUCAAGGUGAGAGAUACGGAGGUAGAGCACUGAAUGUCCUAGGGGGUAUUGCACCUACCGAAGACUAUCAAACUCCGAAUGCCGUCAUCUUAUACUUGGGAGUCAGACUGUGGGUGAUAAGAUUCAUAGUCGAAAGGGCAACAGCCCAGAUCGUCAGCUAAGGUCCCUAAAUGUAAGUUAAGUGGUAAAGGAUGUGGGAUUGCACAGACAACCAGGAUGUUGGCUUAGAAGCAGCCACUCAUUCAAAGAGUGCGUAAUAGCUCACUGGUCGAGUGAUCCUGCGCCGAAGAUUUCCGGGGCUAAAACUUACUACCGAAGCUACGGCAUCAGUAAUGAUGGGUAGGGGAGCUUCCCAUACGGGUUGAAGCGUGACCGUAAGGACAUGUGGACAGUAUGGGAGUGAGAAUGUUGGCAUGAGUAGCGAGAUGUGGGUGAGAAUCCCACAGGCCGUAAACCCAAGGUUUCCAGGGGAAGGUUCGUCCGCCCUGGGUUAGUCGGGACCUAAGCUGAGGCCGAAAGGCGUAGGUGAUGGACAACAGGUUGAUAUUCCUGUACUACCGAUAACCGUUUGAGAGAAGGGAUGACACAGUAGGAUAAGCUAAGCACACUGUUGGUUAUGUGUGCCCAAGCAUUGAGG